rnacentral:rRNA from 1 species
AGCGGCGGACGGGUGAGUAACGCGUGGGCAACCUGCCCUGUACAGGGGGAUAACACCGGGAAACUGGUGCUAAUACCGCAUAAGACAGCACCAUGGCAUCAUGGAGUUGUCAAAGGAGCAAUCCGGUACAGGAUGGGCCCGCGUCCAAUUAGCUAGUUGGUGAGGUAACGGCCCACCAAGGCAACGAUUGGUAGCCGAGCUGAGAGGUUGAUCGGCCACAUUGGGACUGAGAUACGGCCCAGACUCCUACGGGAGGCAGCAGUGGGGAAUAUUGCGCAAUGGGGGAAACCCUGACGCAGCAACGCCGCGUGAAGGAUGAAGGUUUUCGGAUCGUAAACUUCUUUGAUUGGGGACGAAAGAAAUGACGGUACCCAGAAAACAAGCCACGGCUAACUACGUGCCAGCAGCCGCGGUAAUACGUAGGUGGCAAGCGUUGUCCGGAAUUACUGGGUGUAAAGGGCGUGUAGGCGGGAGAGCAAGUCAGAUGUGAAACCCCAUGGCUUAACUGUGGGACUGCAUCUGAAACUGUUUUUCUUGAGUACUGGAGAGGGAAGUGGAAUUCCUAGUGUAGCGGUGAAAUGCGUGGAGAUUAGGAGGAACACCAGUGGCGAAGGCGGCUUCCUGGACAGAGACUGACGCUGAGGCGCGAAAGCGUGGGAGCAAACAGGAUUAGAUACCCUGGUAGUCCACGCCGUAAACGAUGGAUACUAGGUGUAGGAGGUAUCGACCCCUUCUGUGCCGGAGUUAACACAAUAAGUAUCCCACCUGGGGAGUACGGCCGCAAGGUUGAAACUCAAAGGAAUUGACGGGGGCCCGCACAAGCAGUGGAGUAUGUGGUUUAAUUCGAAGCAACGCGAAGAACCUUACCAGGACUUGACAUCCCUCGCUAUUCAAGGAAACUUGGAGUUCCUACGGGACGGGGAGACAGGUGGUGCAUGGUUGUUGUCAGCUCGUGUCGUGAGAUGUUGGGUUAAGUCCCGCAACGAGCGCAACCCCUGUUGUUAGUUGCCAUCAGGUAAAGCUGGGCACUCUAACGAGACUGCCGGUGAUAAAUCGGAGGAAGGUGGGGAUGACGUCAAAUCAUCAUGCCCCUUAUGUUCUGGGCUACACACGUACUACAAUGGCUGUUACAGAGGGGAGCGAAGCCGCAAGGCAGAGCAAAUCCCAAAAAACAGUCUCAGUUCGGAUUGUGGGCUGCAACUCGCCCACAUGAAGUCGGAAUUGCUAGUAAUGGCAGGUCAGCAUACUGCCGUGAAUACGUUCCCGGGCCUUGUACACACCGCCCGUCACACCAUGAGAGUUUGCAACACCCGAAGUCAGCAGCUUAAC